GCCGCGUGCACAAAGCGCGCCAACCAAUAUAAGGGAUGGUUAUGGCAUGUCCAGCACGCGUGGCCGGCAGGCGAAUAUCUCCUGCACUUAUUAUGAUGCAAUUGAGGCGUGUUUUGGCACUCAUUAACCACAAGCGUCAACAUCCGUUCCUUGGCAAAUGUAUAAAAACACCGGCAUUUUCGGAAGAGCAGUGGGUCGGUAGACGGCUCCGUGGGGACGUCCCACGUAAAACCGGCACCUACCGACCGUGGGGCUGAGCUCGUGGUGCAAGACGGCACGAGAACGUACAGGUGGUUCAUCUUCACAGUCCUUGGGUCAGUAUGUUAAUAUUUUAUUAUUUUUUUUUUAGCUUUGUAAGAUAGCCUUAGCGUAACGCUUGUGUGUAGUUAAUAAAAGGCUUGCUUUUUCCCUUAUAGUCAGUGUGUAUGUGUGUUUACCUUAUUGGGAAUCCUCAAAACCACCCUAAAACACCCCGCCCCCCGAUUUUUUGCAACCGCCUCUAGUUUUUCUUUGCAACACCCCUAUUUUCUUUGCAACCCCCCCCCCAUAUCUUUUUCCAAACCCUCCUCAUUUUUUGCGACCCCCCCUAUUUUUUUGCAACUCUCCUUAUUUUUUUGCGAUGCCCCUAUUUUUUUGCAACCCUCCAUAUCUUUUUGCACCCCCCCUAUUUUAUUACACGCACACACACACACCCCUGCCGUACCUUCCUCACCUCUCCCAAGUGAAUUUAUGGCUUUCCAACUUCUUCUCCCUCCAGCUGAGCCGUGUCCCACCAUCAGCGCCUACAUUCGCCGGGACAAUCAGGUCACCAUCCCCAUCAACUUCACCGGAAAGACGUUCCACCUGCAAAAACGCAACGGGACGAGCUGGGAGAACUUUGCCCUCUGCCUGGGGAGCCGCUGCCACAAAACCAGCAGCGCCGUGGCCGGCGUCAGGCUGCGGGACGGCAAACUGGAGCUCAGCAAAGCUUCGGCUGGAACCUACCGAGCCCAGGGCAGCUUGGACAACGCCUGCCUGGCGCACAUCAUCCUGCACGAGCCGACGCCGUCUCCACUCCUGACCCACGCGACGUCUCCCGAGCCUGCAGAAUCCACCGGUUGGGUUGGUCUGCCCUAUUUCAUCAUCAUUGCCGUCGGGUUGAUCGUUGCUGUCACCAUCGUCUUCAGUUUCUGCUUCUUGUACACCUGUGGCUCCUGGGAUUUCUGGCAGGGUCUGAACUACGUUCGCUGUUGCAUCCAGAAAGAAGAAAAUUGGAAUUCUCAGAGCAGGAGCCUCAGCCGGGGCGAAGCCUCGACCUGCAGCUCGGUUUCACAGUUGCUGUCUUCCCCUAGUUAACCAAAAAAGCACUUUUUUAACCCCAUUUCUUUAGCCAAAUACAGGUUUUGCAGAAAAGGGGGUGGGGUGGGGUGGGAAAUGUAGCAGAAGAGGAGGGGAAGAUUUUCCUUGCACUGAGUCUUCCCCAGCCUUAAGAACACUUUAUAUUAGCUAAAAGAGGUUAGAUUAUAUAUAUAUUUAUAACUUUUAGAAAAACAUUUUAUGCCAAUUGGGGUUUUUUUCUAUUUUAGGACCAUUUUCAGCUGCUCAGGUUUUCCUUCCCUUGAAGUUUGGGAUGGGGACAGUGAUUACUUUAUGCCAGCCAGUAUUUAUAACAGGGAAAUAUUCUGCUUUUUGCCUCUGUUUACAUAGGAAAAAUAUGGAAAAAAAAUCGGUGCUCAAACUGAAGGUAUUUUUUCUUUAUAUAUGUGGUAUGGAGAUUAGCAGUUAUUUAUUUGUUGAUUUAUUGUCUUGUGCUUUUGCUGCUAUGUUGUUUGUUUAUUUUUGCAUCAUCUUUAUAAAUGUUUUUUUCUGUUACCUGUCUGGUGUGAUUAUUUUUUUUCUGCCAAAAAAGGUGGGGUUUUUGCUGGAAACACUAUGUGGGUAAAUGGGAUUUAUUUCGGGGUGUCUGUGUAAUAAUUUUAUAUAUUUAUAUAAACAGCGUCACAGCUAAUGAACAUCAUUUGGGGAUGCGAGGAGGAGGAGGGAUGAAGGCUGAGCAUCCUGUGGGGGAAUUAAUUGCAGAAUUAAUUUGUCCUGCGCAAGGAUGA
ensembl:lncRNA